CUGUCCCUUCCUCGCUGGUGCAGUGGCUCUGGGCUGCCAACAUAGAUAAUUUGAUGAAUUUCAUGUAUUUGCCUUGCCAUCAAAUUGCCGUUUCUUUUACAAGAGAAAAGCGCUCGUGACAAAAAAAAUUCCAGUUGAACCUCAAACUGACAAAUGGACAUCUGCUGGCCAAGUCAGCGAAGAAACGCAUUUGCCUGACGUAGCUCUCGGUUUGAUCCCUUCCCAUCAGCUGAAGCCACAAUAUGUUUGGAUCAGAGACUCAUAUUCUGAACUGAUUACAAAAAUCAGUUCUCACUUAGUAAUAUUUUCUGAAGUGUGACAUUGCAUUGCAUCAUGUUACGCAUGACAUGACAUGAAAUAACAUAACAUUACAUGAUGGGUUAUGACAUAGGGAAGUAAGAUGCAAGUUAAUAUUAUGCAUUACAUAUUACUUUUUUUCUAAACUGUUGGAUCCGAGAGUAUGAUGAGCUGUGAGUGGUGUAUUCUGUGCUGGCUUUAUACAACCACCAUCAUUAUAGUAUCUGAGCAUCCACCAGCUGAUAAUUAAGCUUCUUUUGACAGCUGAAAUCCUUGAAUCUUUCAAUAAGCACAUAUCAUUCUCUAUAUUUAAGUAGUAGUAUUCAUUUGAAGAGCAAGGGAGCAGUGACUCUCUAAGUAUGAAGGGUAAACACAUAGGCAAUAAGAAGUGGUAAAACAACUAAAAUGAUAUGUACUUAUCCUCUAAAUGGAAGGAAGCUGUUUUUCUAAAAUUCUUUAUUGCAUUCACAACAAAGCAGAGGAUACCUUAUAUCACAGUGUAUGUGUUUCUUGAAGAUCCUUUCUGGUAGCUAAUGAUGUUCAGAGAAGGCGAUUUGUUAUCUGAGAGCUAUUUAUGAUGGCCAAGAUAGAAGGGCACUGAAUAAAUAUCUAUAGCUCUCAGGAACUGAAACAUGAUGGUGCAAUAGAUGGAAAGAAAUAUCUCAAAUAAGCAGAGGAACAGAACCUCCCUACCAAAGGUGACUGCAAGUUCAAUAGCUUUUUCUUUGGUCUUUUUUUCAAAGCUGUGAAGCAACCAGAUAAUCUCAAUUAACAAUAUACUUUAAUGGAAAGGAAAAGAUUGCUAUGUGCCUAAGCAGGCUUUGGGGUGUUUGGUGUUUUCUUUUUUCUCUUAGUAUGCACAAGAGGGAUUUUUUUAUCAAUAAGAACCAUAUAAAACAAGACUGACUAGGAGGUCUGUUCAGACUUCCCUGCCAAUGAAACCUGAGACAGAUUAGUAUUAAUAAUUUUUAGAUAAAGCAUGGGCAUGUAGUCACUGGUAGACUCUGAUUCUAUUGAGAGGACCCGAUAUAUGCAGUAUUGUGAAAAUGAAGCUCGGGCUAUUUACACAUAUUAUUAUCAUUGUGAACACCCUUCCUUGCUCCUACUCUCUGACUGAAUUGAGUUUUCUAUGUUUGUGAUGCACACUAAAAAAGUAUAGGGAUAGUAUGAAGAAGAAAUUGCACAAAUCUGUGGUCACAUUUUCGGAAGUGCUGAGCACCUGCCCUUUCCAACUUCAGGAAGGAAAUACAGAGCCUCAGCAGCAGGAAGAUAUUGUUUUGGGCCCCACCAGCCAAAGCCCUGCUGGUGUCUUGAUGCCCUGGUAAUCAUUUCUCCAACAGGGUACAGCUCAGCUUAUUGACCAUGCAGGUGUUAUGCGGAGAAAUUAAAAAUUGAUGGCCAACUUGUAAUAAAUUAGGAGUUAAAGGUACGGAGUGUUUUUUUGUAUAUAUAAUUUAUAUUUAUCUGCUGUCAGACUGCAUUCCACUUAUCCUGGCUCUGUUCCAAGAAUGCAUUAGCAUUACUGUGAUUAGUGUGAGAGAAAUUAGGUCUCUUCAACCUGUAUUUCAAUAGGACUUUAGGACUUCUGUAGCAGGUGACAGGACUUCUUGCCAAGAUGCACAAAUAGAAGGACCAUUACUAAGGCUGAUUUCUGAUGCCAAUUUGUGCUGUUCCUCUUCUCCAUCUAUUAUUUUUCUUUGAUUAAACAAAUUCCUGGAAUGUCAAAUAGAAUGCCUCUAGCAAAGGAGAAAGACUUUCCUUUAUCUGUGCUUACAACAUCAGGAGAGGUAGAUUUGCUUAAUCAGAUGUUGUUAAAUAUGCUCAAAAAGAACCUCUAUACCAUAAAGAGAGAAGUAACGAAAAUAUGUUUCAUUCUGGCACCUUUUAUACACUUCUUAACAUCAGGGAGCACAAUCCCUCCUUGCUUCAGUUGCACCCUGUGCAGCAGAAGAGCUGCAAGUGAGGAAUACAGUGCAUGGCCACAGCAGUGACUGCUAAAUCUAUCGGCAAAGGAUUGCCGCAUCUCUGCACCUGGUUUAAAAAAAGGUGCCAAUCCCUACCAAUUUGGGGUUUUUUCCCCCGGUGCAGGCUUUACAGGUAAAUAUAUUGAUGUCAGUAGCAUGUAUAGACAGACUGGCAUUUGCCGAGCCUGCACUGGCUCAGUGAAGCUUGGCAGGCUGAAUUAGGUGAUAGUAUAAAAAAAAGAAUAGGACUGUUGGCUUUGAUGAAACCAAAGCAUAGCUGCUGUGGCUAAAAACUCAGAUUUUCACUGUCAUGCCUGACAGAGAGUAUUUGCUCAGAAAAAGUUGCAUUUUGUGUUAGAUUACUAGUUGGCAUUUGACUGUAAUUCACAGAGCAAUAAAGGCUACAGAGGGUCUAGUUAGGAAAAAUGCAGCUGCGCAGUAUGUAAUAGCUGCUGGGGCACACAGGCUGUGUUUGAGUUAAUCCACUACCAUCUUUCUUUAUCUUGGUCAGACACCACAUUCAUGUUUUUACCAAAGCAGGAAAGUGACUUUUCGUUAUGCAAACUACUGUUGCUUCAUGGUCUGGGGAGCCCUCAGAGAGGAUAGGGAGAAGGUGUCUUUCCUUCAAUCAAAAAAAGGACAAGAUUACAAAAAAUUAUUUGACAAAUAGGACUGGCUACUGUACAAGAGGUUAAAUCUGUGAUUUGCUGGGGAAUUACAGGCAAGUUGCUUCAUGGUCUUUAUUUUUGGUUUUCCCUUUAUUUGAUCUGUGUUGGUCCCAGUUCAACAAAGAAUUACUCUUCGGGAAAGUUCUUACCGGAUUUAAUGUGAAUUUUUCAGUGCUUCCCUGAACCAAUUCUAGACAUUCUGCAGGAUAUGUAGAUACUGCAUGGGUGUGUAGAAGAGUGAAGGCACAUUGUUCACUGAUUAUCAUGGGCUUAUGACAGGACUAAAACUGCAGUUUGGAAGUGACAAGGUAGAAAUUCUCUGGAUUCUUUUAUUUAAAGCGUAAAUUAAUUUUGCUUGGUCCUUUUUUAUGAAAAACUUCUAUCUAUUUUGAAACUAAUUCAGCUGAAAACCAUGACAAUUAACUGCAAACUUUUCAAUUUUCCACUAGAAUUUCUUGGAUGUCUGAAAAAUCAUGGCAGUCUUGAGUACUUGUCCAAAAAGAUAAUUAUUUUUAAUAAAUAGUAUUAUAUUGAUAUAUGUAUCUUAUAUAUAACUAUAUAUAACUAUCUUAUAUAUAGUUAUGCAUGUUUAUUUCAGAUAUGUUUAAUAAGAAAUAAUAUCUAAUAUUUAUUAAUAAAUAAUUUUAUACAUUAUUUGUUAUAAGAUGAUGCUAUAUUAUGAUAUAAUACAAAUAGCAUUAUAUAAUUACAUGGAAAUAUAGAAUUAAGAAUAAAGAAUUAAGGAUAAAAUAUGUUAUGAUUUUUCUUUGCAAUGGACAAUAUUCAAAUAUUAGAGUGAACAGAUGAAGGGUCUUUCUAACCCCUCCUCCUGCCACUAAUGUCAGUGGCAAAGUGUAGCUCAGAAAUUUGUUCAUACAUUCUCUGUUUCUAAAUGGUAGACUUUUCUACAUGCUUUAUUUUUUUUCUAAUUGAUUUCUUCUUCCUGAAUUUACAGCCAUGCAGCUUUAUUAGAAUCACUUUGUGGACUUGCUCUCAUGUAAUGUUUUGUUGCGAUUAACCCAUUCCACACUAGAGGAAUGUAUGUGUUUCAUUUCCAUUUAUUAUAUGAAGUGGGGGAUACAUCAUUAAGUUUUUGUGUUGCUCAUGUUCAAAGCAAGCUGAUAAGAAGCAGAUACUUGAAGAAAUGGAAAAAAGUAGAUAAAGAUUUCCUCUCCCCCUCAUGACUAGCCUUCCCUUAGAUGAAAUGAAGAAUUUGUGAGUGGACACAAGCAGGUGAUACAAUCGUUUCUUUACCAGUAAGCUAACUGUAUCAGUCAUCUGAAUCUUAGCAUCUAUAGAUAACGAUUUCCUAGUAUGAAGAAUUCACAUAUACAUAUUUCUUACUCUGGUGCCUUCAUGCUGUUUCCUUAGCAAUGGGCUGUGUAUUGUCGUCCGGCUCUGCUGGGUCAGUUGUCAAAGUGUAAUAAUUCACCUAGACAUUUUUCUGGGGGGUAGUGCACUAGUAUUUUUGAAUCAGGAUGCUCUCUGAAAGGAGGCACAAGGUAAGUUUUAAUCUCAUAGCACAAAGGUUGCCUCAGAUACAAACAGCAGUUAGAUGAACAGGAAACAAAGAGACUGUUAAAAAAAAAAAGACAAACUGCACAAAUGAUGCACUUGAGUAGUGAACCUUAUUUGUCAUGCAGAGAUUUGAACUGGUGCUGAUGCAGCAUCCUAGCACCCCAACCCAUAUGAACCUCAACCCCAGACCUUCAGGAGAACAUGUGCGUUCUCCCCAGCAGUGAGAGUGGUGCUGCAGAUUUCAUCCAUGUCAGCGAAUUUAGUUUGGUUGAAAAAGAUUUCUUGGAACUAACUUUUCAUUACAAAGGGUAACCGCUUAAAAAAGAAACACCACCAAGCAAACAAAACCACCUUACAACUGGGAAAACUGUGGCACUUCUCCAUAAAUCUUCUUAAGCUCAUAUAUUUUAUAAGUAUUUAAUGUGAUACCUUGUAGGAAUAGACAGCAGCAGAUGACUGCAACUACUUCAAAGAACAGUUAUUUUCUGUUGUUUCUUUUGCAGUUCGGCCCAAUAGACUUCCUAGCAGAUAUUGCUUGCACAGUGGCACCAUUUCUCUUAGGAUAAUCAGUAUAGUUUGGUAAUAAUGCAGAGCACCAUACGAUUAAAAAUUAAUAGUGAAAUGAUUACAUUAUUCUCUUCUAGCAGAAGAAAGCUCCACCUUACAACAAAGGCCUUUAAAGCACUUUGGCUGUUUUCCAAAAUAGCUAAUUAAUACUCCACCUAGCACUAUUUCUGUGAAGCAGACACACUAUUGCCAGGCAGGAAUUGCUAACCGUCCAUUGAGGAACUGGGCAGGUGGCUGGGAAGGUUCUGCAGUCGGCAGUGCCAGUCAUACCACGCCAGGAAAAUCUGCUCAAAUGGCAACAGCACAGCAAGUCAGUCUUCUCUGUUAUUGGAAUAAUCUGUGACAUUCAAACCUGGGAGACAAUGCUUUGGAAAGUCUAGAGAGACUGGAUUUUCUUUCCUCAACACUAAAACAAAGGCUUUGCAAUGUUACACAUAUUAUUCUGAUCACAAAAGUAUCUUGCAUUAGGGCUUUCAGCAUGAGAUAAUUGACCUUGACAUUGCUUUCAGCUAAGGGCACAUAACUCUUAUCGCAGUGACUUAUCUUGAAGAAAAGCGUGCAACUGCAAAGAAUAUUUACUUACUAUCGUCACUUUUUUUUAUUAUUCUUGAAAACGGUGUACUGCAAGGACAAGUAGGCAGAAGUGUAGUGGAGGGAUGGAAGGCAUUUUAUGUGGAUGAACACAUGAAGAGGUGAUUAUGUAUUGCUAUAAGUCUAAUCCUUGGAUAAACUAUAGUUUGCUAUUAAUUCUUUGGACUUGCUUAGCUGCUACUUAACAUUUCCAUGACUUAACAAUUAUAUUCUUGAGCUAAGAAUAACUUUUCAACAAAAUGUGUAGGGAUUAGAAACAUUGAUAAUUAUAUUAAUUAAUAUUAAUGGGAGUGACAAUAUUUGUAGUCAUAUGACAAACAUGAGGAAAUCAGGGCUUUAAUUUUAUCAAUUAAUUCUCUUUCUAAUUGCUUUCACUAUUCAAUUGUCAGUACGUGUUCCACUUGCAACAAGGAAUGUAUUAAGCAGGAAAUGCAGACCAGAAUUAAGGAGAAAGAGAUGUGUGUUUGUAUAUGGUAUUGUCUGUUAUCCAGAAACAUAUUUAGUCUUGUCUGUGGACUUUGCAUUUUUUCUCUCUAUUAUAAAUGCCAAUCACCUGGAGUAAUGGCUUCAGUCUCAAUUAAGAUGGGUAGUAAGGAGAAAGGCAGUCAAAAGCAGACAAUGCCACUUAUUGAAGAGCUUUCCAAAUUAUCAAAUAUCCUUCCCACACCUUCCCACAGGUGCAGGAUGAGCACAGGACAACAAGACAAACAGACCGUGGAAAAGAGAGUUCAGUGUUCAUAUCUAUACUGACGACUCAGAUUUGUUUAAUACAUCUGAUUGGGUUGAAGUUGUCUCUAGAGGAAGGCAAAGAGCUGCAGUCCAUUGGUCUUAAUCCUUCCCUAUACUCCCGUAUCUUAUACUGCUCCACCAGCUCAACACCACAGUAAAAUUAACAUCAUCUACCCUCCACACUCCCCGUUGUGAAGGAAAAUCCCUCACCAGAUCUCUUGCUGAGCAUCGCAGCUGCCACAGAGUCUUCUUGGCACCAUGAAGGAGGCAAAACCCUCCCUGCAGAUGUGUCCAGUGCAGGGCAGAGCCAUGAGAUUAUGUUCUUGCUUGGUGUCCCACCAGACCCGAGGUGUGCAAAACCUCAGUUGUAAAGGCAGAGGCAUCCUUCAGGAAAAAAAAUCAUGCCAUAAAAUUUUCUGCAUUAAAAUCUUCAUGUCCUGAAAUUGCUCUCCUCAGAGAGAUUUCAGCCCAUAAAGCAAUCUUAAUGCAUUAAAGUUUCCUUCCACACAGAGCCUUCACCGCAUAACAAUCCAAGAGGCCAAUAAAACAAACAAUGACUAUCUCCUGGGGACCCUGCAAUAAAAAAAAAAAAAUGUCGUCAGCCAAAAAUUGUGCCUUUGAUGGCUCUUCAGGCAAGACAUCAACAAUCUGUACAACUGCUAAUCCUCUCAUGUGGUUUUACACUCACUGCCCUCUAGACCUGUGCCUGGAUUUCACAUGCAGUGUUUUAAGGUCCACUUUUCUUCUCAGCUCAUCACUCUUCUGCUCCUCCUUAGGAUUCCGCCCCUGUAAGACUCUGAAUAAACAUCUCACCAGACAUUGCAUGCACAGAUGAAGGAAGCUAUCACCUGGGUAAUGCUGGUUUAGUUGCCUUUUUGCUUUUGCCAGCUAAACUGGGAAAAGUUGGUGUCUACUUGCCUUAGCUAUGUGGGUGUUGGGUGCUAGUGUGGCAGGGAAUGUGGCUGGGAUGUUCCUCACCAACACCCCAGUAAACCUGGUGGGCCUCGCCAAUGAGAGAAUUUCUGUUUCUUGUGGAAUGGAUACUCUGCCCACCCCAUUCCUCAUCCUUGUUGACAGGUGAUGAUGAUCCCUAGCAUGUUAGCAUCUAUGCAUAUUUUUAGGAUAAAAUCAGAAAGAAUAAUUUGAUUGUGUUGUGCAAGCCACAUUGUCAAAAGGCGUUCAGGACAGAUUCAGAUUUUUGUUUUGUUAUAAACAUUGCUCCUUCUCCAUAUCCCCAUCAGGGGACAGAGCUCAGAAUUAGUCCUUUUGUGUUUGUUUCCACUACACUGGGAUGGACCGGUGAGCCUUUGCUUUUUCCCAUCAGGAAGCAUAGAUUUAACGUAUUGAACGCACCAGAAUUGCUUAAUGAGUGCUCAGUGAAUAUUAAUAAAAGUUUGGACGUGACUCAGGCUACAAUGGAUGAGAAGUUUGAAAGCUUUGGUUCAAGAUUACAGGAGGCUGUGAGAAAAUAUGGUAUCCAGCAGCUAGCAUAUAGUGCAGAUAUUUCACUAUCCAGGGAUCUCUAAUUACUAAUAAUGUACAGGAACAGUAUGAUAUGUCCUUACAAUCUCAGAAUCCCUUUCAAAGAUAAUCUUUAAUAGUUUAUUUGACAACCUGUAAAAUUAUAGAAAAUUAUUAGUCUUGGGAAUUACAAAAAUCCCCAUCGCAUAGUCAAACAAUAAAAUUAUAAUUACCUGUGGGUAAUUGAAAUUUAACUGUUUUUUUUUAUUGUAUAUUACACAUCAAUAGCAACAUAAGUUCAAGAGUGUCCCCCUCCCCUCCUUUUUCUUUUCCUUACAGAAGUGGGGAAAAUGGACAACCCUGCUGGUAGCUUGUGAGCCCUUGUCACAGAACAGAGCUUGAACAAUUUCGAUUAAAGCAGUAUGUUCGAGACUGUCAUUAGACCUGCAUUAAAUUACAUAUCUGGAAUGUUAAAAAUAAAGAGUACUGAAGCUUAUUCACAGCUGCCUGUCGUAAAGUAUGUAGUCAAGGUUUUGAUUAUCUUUAAAGUUCUUAUUUUUCUCUUUUCUAAAACUUACUGUUUCAUCAAACAAACAUCUAGCACAUUUAAGAACAGUAUGAGCACAUGAGCAGAAUUGCUUAUGAUGGAUAAAGCAUUAAUAUGUUUCCAUUCUGUGCUCAGUAGUAUUGUUUAGUACUAACAAUGGUAAUUUAUCAAUUAUACAAGAGGGAACAAAGCUCUUAGAAGUCUCUCAGCUCUGAAUCUACCUAUUACAAGGUCCAAAGCUUCAGACCCUUUCUAGACCUUGGGAGGCUUCAUUUAAUGUUAGCAUUUGCAUUACCAAGUUUUGCCUUGUCCUUUCUUAGUGAUCCCAUGGAAGCUGCUCAGUACUCAGCACCAUGGCACAUCAAGACUUCCAUGGCUUUUUUUCCCAGAAAAAUUAUAACCUUUUUUCUUUUUUCCUUCUGAACUAGGGAUCUUGAUAACAAAGCACGACUGUUCACUAGCUCUCCCGUCUGCAGCCUGCUCUUCUGGUCUAGUAGGAGCAGCCCGAUAGAUGAAGGGACAGAUGGAAGCUUUGUGGCGAUGCCUCUUGCAGCACAGCACGGUUAAGGCAACCCAAGGAUGACCCUUCGGCCAAUAUUGUCAUCCAGCAGGGACAGAUUAAUGUGAAACACACAGGCUACUGCUUGGUUGAAGGAAACAUCCCUGAGCUGCCCUGUGAUUUUAUACCCAGUCAUGCUGCUGGAAACCAAAGGCAAACAGCACAGAGAAGACCAUGGAUUUCCUUCUCAUUUAGGGUUAAGCCAGGAGUCUGAGACAAGAGUCCUAUCACCAAAUUUACUUCCCUGAACAUCAACAAAAAUGGGCCCAAACAUCUACUAUUUCAGCAGUAGUUCCUCAGGCAGGGAGUCCAUAGGCAUUGAGCUCUCAGUUACUGGCUUGGUGAGGCAGUGACUACAGUCAGCCGUGAGCUGUUUGGCCAUCUCCUCAAGGCACUCAAGGGGAAAAAAGGGAAGACUUGGUGUGGACAGUGCCAGCAGACUUGUUCUUCAAAAGAAAAGGUUUUUUUUUUUCCCCAGGAAAAAAAAGAAAAAAAAGUCUUUGGUUUGAACAUUGUUUCCAUCCUUACUAAACCUGGCCUUGACUAAGAAGAAUACAAAUAAGCUGAUCAUAAAUUAACAGUCAUCCCUGUUGUGAACACGCACGUGCAUACCUGGCCAAGGCAGGCAAAAGCAGAUUGAUUAAACAACAAAGUUCACCUUGUU